GACGUAGGGUCCAAGCGUUGUCCGGAUUUACUGGGCGUAAAGAGCGCGUAGGCGGCUCGGUAAGUGUGAAGUGAAAUCUCUAGGGCUCAACCCAGAAACUGCUUUACAUACUGCCAAGCUGGAGUGAUGAAGAGGUUUGUGGAAUUCCUGGUGUAGCGGUGAAAUGCGUUGAUAUCAGGAGGAACACCCAUGGCGAAGGCAGCAAACUGGUCAUCAACUGACGCUGAGGCGA
rnacentral:rRNA from 1 species